UGCCAACCAAUCGAAUUUGAUUAAAUAAGCUUAGCUUAACCUUGAGCUUAUCCAACUCCUUCACGGUUAAGAAAUAAAAGUAGACAAAAAUUGCCUCUUCAUGUGCAGUGGUUCCUAUCCUUCACGGUUAAGCAAGAAGUAGCUUUAGUGGAAUUUUGCUUCCUUGCCAUUUGUUGCCUAAAAUCCAUGAUUAUCUCUAGCAAAGCUUGAUCUUUAUCCUUUUCAUUCAUUCAUGUUCUAGCAACCAUACUACUCUAUAAAUAUAAAACGCCAUAACCCCUACCGCAACCACCUCUACCGUCCUUUGCUCUAGGCGACCAAGUUAACGGCUGCCUCCAACCUUCUCCUCCCUCAUUUUAUAGCUUCGUGCUUGAUUGCCAUCUUGCCAAGCCCCUUAUUUUUGUGUAAGCCCAUAGGAAUCAUACCUCGGAGCUCAAUGAGAACGAUAGAAUAAAGGCUAACAAGAGAAUAAAGGCUAACAAGAAGGUUAUCAGACUGAGGUAAAAGAUGACUUAUGGAAGCAAGAGAGAAAGGGAAAUACUUGCUGCCACAUCUAAGUCACAUGAUCCACUGUUAGCACAUUCACCAAUUACAACUAAUGCAAUACUUCAUCUUCUACUGAAGUUGUUUCAUAACCCACUAAAAAACAAGCUACUAAGUCACCACAGACUGAGGUACUUAAGGAUGACAAAUGGGGACCUUUUUCUCCACCCAUUACCACUACAAAAUCUGAUCAACAACCACCUAAUAGUUUAGGAUCCAUUUCGAAAAACCCUCCUGGUUCAACAUCGAGUUCAGUCAAAGAAGCAGCUACAUCAGGUUAUCAGAAAAAAUAUCCAGAAAAAGUCUCACCUAAUAUCGCACCUAAUAUUUCACAAUCAAGUAGACCAGACUCAUCAUUGAACUACCUUUCUACUUCUCAUAAACCUCUCGAGCAACCUGUGAGACGAGGAAUUCAGAACCUUGAGACUGGUGCUGUUAAAACUUUACCAACAGCUCCACAGACUAAUCAAUAACGACAAAAAAGUGGAAAAGAAUAAGAAAAGAUCCCAAAACAAUCUAAGUCUUUAUGACCAAAAGCACUUCCGGAUUGGCCUCUAGACAUAGAUUUUGACGACAAGGAGGAGGUUCUAACCACAGAUGCCAAUGGUAAUACUACAUUAGUAAGUAGUAUAAUUCUAUCAAUUGACGUUUGGAGUAAUAAUGGCGUCCAAUACUAUGUUGAAUUCAUUGAUCUAUGCCAGCAAAUUACGAAAGGUGGACAUAUUUUGGUUAAAUUCAUUAGUAUGAUUGCAAAGAUGGAAAGUCGUUGCCCAGUUGGGGAAAAAGAUUGGCAUGCAAUCAUUGGCAAAACGUGCAACAUCAUAAUUUAGCUUAUAGAAACCAACAGAAGGGGCUUUCCAUUUGUUGCUUACUGCAACACUCGAAUGUACAUGAGUAGAGCUUGCAUUAUUGGCUUUGCAUUAUAGGAGUGUAAGGGAUAUCUAAUUAUUAUUCACUAAAAUGGCCUGUCUUUUGAUUCUGGCCAGAAUCAUAAAUUCUUGCUUACACUUGUUUUUUUGUCCUUGUAGUAAAUUAGCAUUUGCCUUGGAUGUGUCAUUUCUAAAUUAACGUUUUUCUUUUAGUGAAGCUUAUCAAUUAGAUUUUAA